UACGUAGGUGGCGAGCGUUGUCCGGACUUACUGGGCUUAAAGGGAGCGUAGGCGGACUUUUAAGUGAGAUGUGAAAUACCCGGGCUCAACUUGGGUGCUGCAUUUCAAACUGGAAGUCUAGAGUGCAGGAGAGGAGAAUGGAAUUCCUAGUGUAGCGGUGAAAUGCGUAGAGAUUAGGAAGAACACCAGUGGCGAAGGCGAUUCUCUGGACUGUAACUGACGCUGAGGCUCGAAAGCGUGGGGAGCAAACAGGAUUAGAUACCCU
rnacentral:rRNA from 1 species